UACGUAGGGUGCAAGCGUUGUCCGGAAUUAUUGGGCGUAAAGAGCUCGUAGGCGGUUUGUCGCGUCGAAUGUGAAAACCCGGGGCUCAACCCCGGGCCUGCAUUCGAUACGGGCAGACUAGAGUUCGGUAGGGGAGUCUGGAAUUCCUGGUGUAGCGGUGGAAUGCGCAGAUAUCAGGAGGAACACCGAUGGCGAAGGCAGAUCUCUGGGCCGUAACUGACGCUGAGGAGCGAAAGCAUGGGGAGCGAACAGG
rnacentral:rRNA from 1 species